UCGGGAAUUUUGGGCAAUGGGCGAAAGCCUGACCCAGCAACGCCGCGUGAAGGAUGAAGUAUUUCGGUAUGUAAACUUCGUAAGAAUAGGAAGAAUAAAUGACGGUACUAUUUGUAAGGACCGGCAAACUUCGUGCCAGCAGCCGCGGUAAUACGAAGGGUCCUAGCGUUGUUCGGAAUCAUUGGGCGUAAAGAGCACGUAGGUGGCCUUGUAAGUCAGAUGUGAAAGCCCAGGGCUCAACCCUGGAAGUGCAUCUGAAACUGCUUGGCUUGAGUACAGAAGAGGUAAGUGGAAUUCCUGGUGUAGUGGUGAAAUACGUAGAUAUCAGGAGGAACAUCGGUGGCGAAGGCGGCUUACUGGUCUAGUACUGACACUGAGGUGCGAAAGCAUGGGGAUCAAACAGGAUUAGAUACCCAAGUAGUCCCUGAGCGGGCUGGCAAGGCGCAU
rnacentral:rRNA from 1 species